GGAACCGUGGCAGUCGACUCACCGCCAUGAGGACAGCCAGGCUAAGCUGAAAGAUGGAACAGAGUGUCUCGGAGAGACAACCCACCAUCACCCCGACUGCAGACUUCGAUGUAAUGGGUGCCUUAGACUGGAAAGACGGCAUUGCUACCUUGCCAGGUAGCAACAUACAAGAAAGAAACCAAGGAACAGGGUGCUGAACAUUUACAGCUUCAACUGAAGUGAAUUGGAGCGGUGGGAACUUAGAGCCUCUGAAAAUCAGGCUCAACACAUCUCAAAUUAAGUAUCCAUUCCAAAAUCAGUGGCCUAACUGGAAAACAUUGGUCUUUUUCUUUCACUUUUCCCCUUCCCCUUUUCUUUGAAAAAUCUGCAACUUGGUCCUUCAAAGCUUACUUCAGUCUAUGAAGCAAAUUCUUCCAUGCUGUAUCUCCACAGAAGUGAAAAGAAUAAGUGCAUGCAUGACCCUGUGUGUCUGAAGUGUUUUGAUUAACAUAUGGGACCUGAAAUCAAUGGGAAUUAUACUGACAUAAAACCUGAGUAAUACAGA